rnacentral:rRNA from 1 species
CGAAAUCAAAUGAACGAGGCCCCCUCGACUCCUUUCUCGAUCUGUUUCCUAGGGUGUGAACACCGCCGCCGCUGAUCCCAUCUUCCCCGGCGACAUGCCUCGCUGGCGGCCUCCUCUCUCCCAUCCACGCCGGCGACCUCCCUCUACCCCGCCCUCUUCGUCAACCCGUCUCUCCAGCAGCUCGGGCGAAACCCUUGCCCACCCGAUGCCACAGCGACCUAGCAGGCAGGCGGGAGGAGCCUUGCCCGGCCAUGGCGACACCGCCGGCGGCCUCCUCCUCCCCCUCACCUUCUCUCCCUCUCCCAAGGGAGGGAAGGGAAUGGAAGGGAUCCGACGGCAAAGGGAGGCAGCGCCUAGAUCCGCAGCCGCACCGGCGGGCCGCCGUCCCUCGAGGUCGUCCAUGGAGGUCCGACCCUCCCUUUAGCCAUGGACUGAGACGCCCGAAACCCUAGCUACCCGUGGAGGUCCAACGCCUCAACCUCCAAGGAAAGGACGCGCGCCGGCUGCAGGCCAUCUCCGGCGACCUCCGACCAUGGUUGCUCGGAUCUGGACCAGCUGCUGCUCCUACUGCUUCAGGUGGACGAGGACGAGCCCUCCCUCAUGGCUGCUGCGGCUGCCUACUCCCUUGGUCACCACGCCCCUCCCGUGCCUGGGGUCUCCUUUCUCUCCCGCAGCGGCCGCAGUAGGCGCGUGUGGCUAGAAGGGUUGAGGG